AGAACAAUUGGAAGCGAUGAAAAAUUCUCUAUAUCUGGGCACUUUGAGAAUUUGGAGCUAGUUGUGCAACCGACCAAUUAAAAC
rnacentral:ncRNA from 25 species